rnacentral:rRNA from 1 species
CCUACGGGUGGCAGCAGUGAGGAAUAUUGGUCAAUGGGCGCGAGCCUGAACCAGCCAAGUAGCGUGAAGGAUGACUGCCCUACGGGUUGUAAACUUCUUUUAUAAAGGAAUAAAGUGAGGCACGUGUGCCUUUUUGUAUGUACUUUAUGAAUAAGGAUCGGCUAACUCCGUGCCAGCAGCCGCGGUAAUACGGAGGAUCCGAGCGUUAUCCGGAUUUAUUGGGUUUAAAGGGAGCGUAGAUGGGUUGUUAAGUCAGUUGUGAAAGUUUGCGGCUCAACCGUAAAAUUGCAAUUGAUACUGGCAGUCUGGAGUACAGUUGAGGUAGGCGGAAUUCGUGGUGUAGCGGUGAAAGGCUUAGAUAUCACGAAGAACUCCGAUUGCGAAGGCAGCUUACUAAACUGCCACUGACAUUGAUGCUCGAAAGUGUGGGUAUCAAACAGGAUUAGAUACCCUUGUAGUC